rnacentral:rRNA from 1 species
UACGUAGGUGGCAAGCGUUGUCCGGAUUUACUGGGCGUAAAGGGCGUGCAGGCGGCAUGGUAAGUCUGAUGUGAAAGCUCCCGGCUCAACCGGGAGAGGACAUUGGAGACUGCCAAGCUCGAGGCAGAUAGAGGGAUGUAGAAUUCCGGGUGUAGUGGUGAAAUGCGUAGAGAUCCGGAGGAAUACCAGAGGCGAAGGCGGCAUCCUGGGUCUGACCUGACGCUGAGACGCGACAGCACGGGGAGCGAACGGG